UCACUUCUCUCAACCAUUCAACCUUGUCUCUCUCUACUAUAACUGAAUUCUGAAGUCUUAUUCACUUAACGAAGACAUCUUCCCAUCGCUAACCAAGUGAUCCAUUCUUCUUUAUGACACUCAUGGAUAUUUCUAAGGAAGUUACAAUGGACAUCAGAAUCAUUUUGAAGUUGAUAACCAUUUAAAGUUUUGUAAAUUACUCGACUGGUAUCGGGUUGGGAUGGGUUGUCACAACCAAUGCGAGUAUGUGAGGCGAGUUGUACAACUCAGGAGGACGAGUUGUCGUGGAAUAGACCAAAAACCAUAGAAACUUUACUUUCAAACCAUGGAACUCAACUAAGAAAGUGUCCCUUUUUUGGUUGAAAUGAGGUGGAAUAAUAUUAUUGGAUGGUGAUGUGGGUACUUGUGGGUCAGACUAUGAGUGCCCCAUCCAACCUAACGUCAUUGGUGUCUUAACCUGGUCUAACUAGUAAGGCAACCAGUUUAAUUAAAGAUUUGGUUAUAAAAACAUCAACAUAAAUCUUCUAAUAAUAGUCAAAUAAAAAUGUAAAAGUCAAACCGGUUGGAUUACACUUUCAUGUCCAAACUUGGUUGAUUUUCUAAAAGUCAAAGCACAUUUCAUUAAUGUGCUUCUGUGAGAUGCGGUUGCCUUUUAUCCAUUGUGGAUCAGAAAACUUGACUUGACGUGCUUCGCCAAAAUAUAUGUUUAUGAGUGGGACUACAAGAAAAGAAAAACACAGGCAUGCAUGUGACUAACACAUAAAAUGACAAAUUUUAGCAAUCGAAAAAACAAAUAAUCAGACCUUAACAAUGGAGACGUUUGGUUUGGAAACAUGAUAAUACUUAUAAAACCUCAUAUUCUCAAAUGUAGCGGUAUGAUUCCCUUGAGCCCUCAAUUACUCUUGAGCCUGCAAUGCCUACUGAUCGGUGAAUUUUAGGAGACUUUAUGAUGGACGUAUAAUAUGCUGGCCCGAUGUAGUUUAGCCUGCAUUGCCUGACAUCCCCUGCCCCAACCAACGACCCACACCCACUGGUCUAAAAGCUCUCUCUCCUUCUUCAGCCUUUUCCCUGACAAGCUCCUACAUAGAAUUAGAGCAUUAUUCAGUUACAUGAUUGAAGAAAACAUAGAUCGAGUAGGUCUACCUGGAAGGAAUCCCUGUGAUCUCCGGGCAAUCCUUACAGGUCUGCUUCUACAUCAGCUUGAUAAAUGAUAUCAACAACAUUACUUUCAUCUGCCUAAAAAGGAUUAUUAAAGUCUGCAAAACCUUUCUAUGUUUGAGUUAGGCUUCUUUUAAUGCCAAUGGCUCGGUCAGUCAACACACAAAAACAUAACCACAUAUUAUGCAAGUUCACAUAAUGAGAUCAGGCUAAUAACUACAAAUGUUUGUUUACAUAAGAUUUUAUAUCUUGAGAGUUGCAACUCGUGUUCAAGUGGGCGUUUGAUUAUAAAAACCUCUUGAAGUAAAAAAAAUUGCACGAACAUCUGCAUAAACUCGCUUGAUUACACUUGCGUACUACACAUUGUUGAUAAUCAAGAUACUGAGCAUCCCUAUAUUAAAGAAAAAAUCAGAUGGUCUAACAACAUUAGUUUCCAAUUGAAGACUAGAUAAUUGUAUACGAAACAAAAGUAAGGGUGCAUACUUUAUGUUGACAUAUUUUAGCAAAAAAAUAUGAGGUUCACGUAUUUCAACUAAAGAAACGCUAUAAAAGUGAGAUUCACAUACAUUGCCAAUAAAAGCAGGAAAAUUAUUUAGUUCUGAUUUGGAGUGUCAAUUUUGUGACCGUUGAAUUCAGUAAUUACGUGUUGUGUGUUUCGCUAGGCGUUUGUUUCAUCUGGUAAUCGAUCUGAAAAGAUAACUAUUCUACCCUUCACCAUCUCCUUCUUCUAACCCAGGCCUCAACAUUUUUUGUUCGUUGGUUAAUACUUCACGCUUAGGGGUUACUUUUUUUAUAUUUGAUUUGUAAAUUUGUUUACAAAAUAUCCUGCAUAUGGACUAUUGUGUUCAUCGAUCCGACCAGGUAGUGUCUGGAUGUGUAUCUUUUGAUUCAAAUUCUUAUAAUCACUUUGAUGUUCAAUACAGUCUGAUUAUACUAAUUUCAAUGAAAAAUGGAUUUCCUUAAAAGUUUUUAGUUGA